UGCUAGUCGCACGAGUUCAGACUCGUGGCGAAUAGCUCAGUAACACGUGGCCAAACUACCCUUCGGAGCUCCAUACCCUCGGGAAACUGAGGCUAAUAGAGCAUACCACAAUCCAGCUGGAAUGAGGAUUGUGUCAAACGCUCCGGCGCCGAAGGAUGUGGCUGCGGCCGAUUAGGUAGACGGUGGGGUAACGGCCCACCGUGCCAAUAAUCGGUACGGGUCAUGAGAGUGAGAACCCGGAGACGGAAUCUGAGACAAGAUUCCGGGCCCUACGGGGCGCAGCAGGCGCGAAACCUUUACACUGCACGCCAGUGCGAUAAGGGGAUCCCAAGUGCGCAGGCAUAGAGCCUGCGCUUUUGUACACCGUAGGGAGGUGUACGAAUAAGGGCUGGGCAAGACCGGUGCCAGCCGCCGCGGUAAUACCGGCAGCCCGAGUGAUGGCCGAUUUUAUUGGGCCUAAAGCGUCCGUAGCUGGCCGCGCAAGUCCAUCGGAAAAUCCACCCGCCCAACGGGUGGGCGUCCGGUGGAAACUGCGUGGCUUGGGACCGGAAGGCGCGACGGGUACGUCCGGGGUAGGAGUGAAAUCCCGUAAUCCUGGACGGACCGCCGAUGGCGAAAGCACGUCGCGAGGACGGAUCCGACAGUGAGGGACGAAAGCCAGGGUCUCGAACCGGAUUAGAUACCCGGGUAGUCCUGGCCGUAAACAAUGUCUGUUAGGUGUGGCUCCCACUACGAGUGGGUGCUGUGCCGUAGGGAAGCCGCUAAACAGACCGCCUGGGAAGUACGUCCGCAAGGAUGAAACUUAAAGGAAUUGGCGGGGGAGCACUACAACCGGAGGAGCCUGCGGUUUAAUUGGACUCAACGCCGGACAUCUCACCAGCAUCGACUGUAGUAAUGACGAUCAGGUUGA
rnacentral:rRNA from 1 species